CCUGGGCAUAAUAGUCAUGCCUGUAAUUCCAGUUAUUGGAGAGGCUGAGGCAGGAGGAUCACAAGUUCAAAGCCAGCCUCAGCAACUUAUUGAAGCCCUAAGCAACAUAGUGAGAUCCUGUCUCAA
rnacentral:sRNA from 1 species